CUUCACACUGGAGUACACACAGUCAUUGUUGGUGGUUUUCCUCUGUCUUCUUGAUCUGUUGGGCAGGUUGACACUUAAAGCAGCAUAAUGGAGGUUCUCUGCAUCUCUGCGACUCUGAUUGUUAAAAUCAAUAUCACCUCUGGAUUUGUGGUCGACGGAGCCGAUAAUCUUGCUUGAGAUUCUGGUUGUGAAACACAGAUAUUGCUCUUUCAAUCAAAAGUGACUCUACGAACACAAGCCAUCAUAUACCAAUAGUACCAAGUUACCUGUUGACUGAUAACUGUUUCUCAUCUUCAUCUUGAACACUGAGAGAGCCAGUAGAACUACCAGGAUGGUGCUUGGUCCCGUCUCCAAACAAUAUGUGUCCACAUGAGGCAACAGCACAGUAGUAGAUCCCAGCAUGAGAAAGAUUCAGGCUCUUCAUUGGU